ACAGAACACAUCAGUGGUGAGUUCAAGAGUUUUCAGGACUGUGAAGUCAAAAUCCGCUCAUAGUACGGCAGCGAUGGCACGUCCAAUCAAAAGACUUGGAUUCUAUUUGUUUCGUUUCAAGGGAUCAUGAUGAAGGUCUUCUUCAAGACCUCACUGAAGUGGACGGAUCGGGGAGAGCGUGCUUUCAUGACAAUGUCAUCGGCGGGACUUUUCCAUGUGAGCAGUUGCAUAUGAGUUCCUCAUCACAUCUGUGUCCACCCACUAAAGAACGAAGGGAAAAGGCUUCAUCUUCAUCUCUCUCAGUGUUGGUGUCGCUGGUGUGUGACGGGUGGGUGUUUUUACUGUCUGUUAGUUACUCAUUAGAUUUCUCUCUCUCUCUCUCUCCAUCAAAUAAGUGACACACUUUUUCACAGGCCCCGUUCGUCUCAUCCAGAGCCACUUCUCAUUUCUACACUUCUGUUUUUUUCAUUUGAAUUCUCACCGGCCACAAACCCAGAGGAGCCGGAGAAGUGCUCGCUGCCACCAAGAGAGGCUGUUUUACAUUAAAAAUGCUUUUGAGCUGAGGUAACAUCAUGCUUUAAUAAUGUACAACACCAGGCAGCAUGGAGCAAAAUACAUUUUUAAUUACUAAAGUGACUAAUAUCUGAGGUUCUGCUUUGAGGUUUUGGUUUCAUUAAAUAUUCAUGUGUUUUUUUUUUUCUUUCUUGGCAUUCAUGCAUCUGAGCCCCACACCUGGAGUUCAGCGCUGCACUUUCUGCCAGAGGACGGCACAUUUACACACGUACUGAACACACAACACACCUCUCAGGAUCCGCGGCGUGUCACACAAGACCUGCUCCAGGAUCUCAGCUGUCAUUCGCUCCCAAAUCUGCUCGCAAUCCCCUGAAACAAGAAACCAGCUAAACACAUGACAGUGACACAAUAUCGCGCUCUUCCUCAGGAUAUGAUGUUGAUGCUCAUCAAAGUGCCAUUUCAGCUUAAAAUAUGAAUGCGUCUCACGUGAACGUCUGAAAGCGUUUGUGUUCUGAUGGUUUUAUUACUGUAAUGACCUGAUCAAUAUCAGUCCUUUUGUUAUUUUGUUUAUUUCUGAAAUAUGUGGGUUAUUGUAUUUUGUUUGAUAAAGUGUUUAAUGCAUAUGCAAGAAGAUUUAUCAUUUAAUUAUUUCUAUGCUGUUCAGAUGUGCCUGGUAAUUUAACAGUUGAGUUGUGUUUUCUUUAAAAUGUUUUAAGGAUGGUUCAUUACAUAAGAGAAGCUCACUAAUCAAUAUGUUAAUGUUAGAGAUUUAGUGAUUAAUAAAGUAUCCUGUUGAACUACGUGAAAUCCCGUGAGAGAGGAGAACGGAAACGGGAAGCGGGAGAAAAAAAAACGAAAAACUGAGCACGAGAGUGAGCACGAGGGCUAGUCUGCUAUUAACACAGAGUUUGUGGGCUUAACGCUUUAAGUUGGACUAUAAUUUGUUUCAUCAGAAACCGCGCUCUCUGCGUAGGUGUUUGUGACUGAGGGAAAGUGAAAUACCGCCGGAGGUGUGUGUUUUUGGACUGUGACGUGAGCUUAGGCCUGUUAGCCUCUCUGGCUAAAUUAGCUCGUGGUUUUGCAGUAACGUUACUGUCAUACGGUCGCGGGAGUGACCGCAUACACUUUGUUUGCCUGGUGGACGAGAGAAGACAACAUCGAGAAGAGAGUCGCAGGCUGACGCAGAUGUUUUCUUCAUUGGGGACCGUUUGGCUGUCGAUGCGGGACGGAUGACGCUGAUUAACCCUCGCUGUGCCGCUUGCAAACGGAGUUCGUCUGACGAGAAAGAGAGUUACAAUCGCGGUAGGAUCCGGGUUUUUCACUCUACACCAGGAGGUAUUGUUGCUUUCUUCAUUUUAUGAGCUCCAACAUUAAGCGCGCCAACGAACUAACUUAAUGCAGGCCUGCUAAAAGAACUGAAAAAUAAGAGUGCACUCAGGUUAUCACAGACUAUUGACUUCAUUACCCAGGUUUUUUUCCCCUCUAAAUUGGGUUUUAUUUUCAUAUUUGCUCUUUGCUGUUCAAUUGUUAUGUGAGUUUGUAUAAUACAAAAGGAGGAAAUUGAGCUAUGGCGUUCUUGUUGUUUAUUCUUUCACCAGCCAUUGUAUUUGUGUAGCUCAGUGUUUUCUGUGGUAAUAUUCUAUAUUUUAAAACCAAGAAUAUUCUUUCAGGUACCCAUUGAUAAGCAAAGAGAUAGUGAGAAUCAUAGUGUUCUUAGACAGGGUCAUUAUACAAUGGAAUGUCUCUUUCACCAUUUUACCAAGCAUUAGGGUUAAGAGGGUUCAAUACUUUAUACGCUGCUGUAUAACGUACUUGCCUCAUCACGAGCCUAUGGUGGAAAGGGUUACAUUUUUGGGGGCUCGUCCGGGAUAUUAGUAGAUUUGUAAUAUUCCUCAGUUCUCACUU
ensembl:lncRNA